GUGAGGUCUUCGAGCCCAACGCAACAACCUGCAUUUACUUGUAAAGUGGUGCUUUUGUAUGUGUAACAGCAAAAUGACAUGUAACACCUCCGGUUAGUUCUGCUUAAUUAAUCCACUGCAUUCAGAUUUAACCUGUGAUGUGAGUCCAGCUGUGUAGGCUAGGUCUUCUGGUUUCUCAUGUUAAUGUGGGCUAAAGUUAGAGGGCAAUAGCUUCUUCCAAAUAUAGACAGAAAACAGAAGACUCUUGUGGUUUACAUUUAUUGUUUAUGGUUCUGUGGAUGCCUGUGUGUGUGUGUGUGUGUGUGUGUGCUUAUAUGUCCUGCAGACCUUGUUUGUCUAUUGUAUUUGUGCUUGUUAUUGUUUACUCCUGAGGGUAGCAGGGAGCGAUUGCAUCUGAACACUGAAAUUACAGCGAUGCCAGACUCUGAUAAUCGCAGUCAGAGAGCAGCAGCCUUCUCAUCUCCCCCCUCACCGCUGAGGCCCAGUACUCCAACAUUACAUGGACGUGAGUGACGAUCAGUCGCUGCCUGCUGGACUUCAGAAAGAAGGCAAGAAUCUAUUCUUUCUAGAUCUGGAGGAUAUGUCCAUUGUCUACUUAUUGCACAGGAAAACUAGGUGGACGUGGCUAUGAUCAUCAAACAGUUUUGAAAAGGCAUCCCUUGUUAGAGAGAAAGAGACAGACAGACAAUCUACCAGGUUUUACCACACGAACGCCACAGAGUCUCGCUGAUGAGGUUAAAAGGUAACACUUCAAUCGAGCUCUUAAUGUACACUUCAGCCACAGAAACAACACCACUUUCUCUGCCGUGGCACCUCACACUUUUCAUCUCCCACCUGUUGUUUUCAUUGGAGGAAACCCUUUAAGAUCAGAGCGACCCAACAAAAACAUCAUCUGUUUUCAUGGAUAACAGUUAGCGCUGGUUUUGAAAGAAGCAGAUAAGAUUAUAGUGUCUAAUGAGCAAUGGCCUGAGUACAUCUACCGGGAUAUACGUGUUAGAAGAAGCAGUUCGUCUUCGUGAUUUUGUGUUGGAUCUCUUCCACGAGAUCCUAUUAUAUCCUAUUAUUAAUUUUCUAUAAUCACAGUGGCUCCUGACCGCUAUGUAUAAUGUCUUAAUGUGUUUUACUUGGCUUCGUGUUUUCAAGUAUCAUUGUUUUAACACUAUCUUUGAUUAUGAAUAAUCUUCUGAUGGGUUUGUGAUGGAAAAUGCGCCAUAAGAAACAUUGGGAAAUUGUACUUUGAAAGCCAUUUAAUACCUAGUUAUGUAUUUUAAAUAAAAAACAGUAUUAAAAAUAAGUACUGUUCCUGUGUAUUGUUUUGGUCUAAUUUCCUUUUGAAUUACAUCCACA
ensembl:lncRNA